GAUGAACGCUGGCGGCGUGCCUAACACAUGCAAGUCGAGCGGAAAGACCAUGAGCUUGUGCCUCUGACGGUUGCGGCAGGCGGGUGAGUAACACGUGGAUCACCUACUUAUAUUUCGGGGAUAAUUUCGGAAAACCGGAUCUAAUACCAGAGAAUAUAUUGAACCGCAGGGUUCAAUGGUGAAUGACGGCUUUGGUGUCUGUUAUAGCUGCUUCCGCGCCGCAUUAGCUAGUUGGUAAGGUAACGGCUUACCAAGGCGACGAUGCGUAGCCGAACUGAGAGGAUGAUCGGCCACACUGGAACUGAGACACGGUCCAGACUCCUACGGGAGGCAGCAGUAGGGAAUCUUCCGCAAUGGGCGGAAGCCUGACGGAGCAACGCCGCGUGAGUGAUGAAGGUCUUCGGAUCGUAAAGCUCUGUUAUUGGGGAAGAACAAAUGUGGAAGUAACUAUGCCCGUCUUGACGGUACCGAAUCAAGAAGCAACGGCUAACUACGUG
rnacentral:rRNA from 1 species